CUCGUGGAAGGCGCUGGCUGCCCUCAGAGGGGAUUGUUACAUCAGGCCCGAGAAGUGGGUUGCAUGCAGCAGCUGCUAUAGUAUCUGCAGCUGCCUUCUGAUGCAAGAUGAAUGACCACUACGGCAGCAGCCCAAAACCAGGUGGACAUUACUCAAACUGCAAGAGUUUGGAGAUUGGUCUGUCUUUAUUAGGAACUUGUUGUUUCUGCAGUCAUGGAGAUGCUUUCAGUACCCCCACAUGCACUGUGCAGCUACUGGCAAAUGAGGAACACAGCACGUGUAUCUGAAGUGAUAACUGGCUUUGGAGAAGAUGGUCUUCACUGAUUUAAUUGUAUGCAUUUGUGAAUACAAUUGUGAAGAUUGCUGACUGGUAACACAGGUUUUUGUUAGCCAUAUUAACCCUCUUACAGUAAUAUAACAAAUUUUGCAUUGGCAAGUAUACAAUUUCACCCAGGUGGGGAGUUCUGCUGUUCAUUUAUUUAAGCAGUGAAGGGCUUAUACUUUCUGAACAGCAAGAUUUUUCAGAGAAAUAUUCCAUUGUCAUUACCCACUGGCACUUAAAUGAUGACCUUAGAGUCCCUCAUAUGGCCAUGUUUAAGUCACAGAAUUAGCAGCUCUAGGAUGAGGAGCAUUUUUGUGCCUCAAGACAAAAUCACAGCCAUUUGAAUGGCAGCAUUAAGGCAGUGUGAUCAGCGGUAGUGUUGUGCUCUGCACAGCAGAUAUGCAAUUGUAGUCUACAGUGGGUGCAGCUGUGUGCAGGCACACUUCAUGCAGCCCAAGCAUGGGGCAGGUCCAGGUGAGCCAGUUGUUGUUGUGUUUGCUUUGCAUGAAGCUCUAGGUACAGAAAAUCCAUUGCCACGAUGAGAAGGAGAAUGUGCUAUUCUCUUGUUGGUUUAUUUUUAUGUGCUGGUAUUGCAGACCCUUCAGUAACAAUGCUAAAAGGUUGGAUACUGUUUUCUGAUCCUUCUUUCAAAUCUUUAAAAUGUGUUUAAAAAAAAAAAAGAUUAAAAACUGAACCUUUAAAUUAACUGAAAGUACAUGGAAAAAAUAGAGUUUCUUGUCCACUGAGAAGUUGGCAGUUAGAACAAAAUAGUAAAACAAAACCACGUGCCAAAUUGUGCCCUUGGAGAAAUUCCCCAAGGAGUCUGCAAUAGUUACUUCUGCAUUGACACUUUCAUUUCUAUAUUCCACAGCUUCUCUAGCACAGAUAGAGAGCCCAGAUCAAUGAUGUAAUUUACCAAUGUAGACCUUAAUUUCUAUUUUUAAGCAAGUAAAAUCAUAAAUUUUUGUGUAGGAGUUUGGGGGCAUCUUGUGAAGGAGCACUGCGGCCUCUGACCACAGGUGGCUAUAAAGCCAGAAUAAAUACUGAUGGGAGAGCAUACUGAAUUUGUAAAAUAUCAAUCCAAGCAGAACAAAAGGAUUCUUUCUAUCUCCUGCCUGAAAAAUACUCUUGAUUCUUCCCCACCCCCAACAGAAGGAAUAAAUGAACAAAGAGUUCAACUGAACUGAGA
rnacentral:lncRNA from 1 species